UUUUUUAAUUGGAAACUUGUAUGAAUGGUUGAACGAGACAUUGACUGUUUCAUAAAAAUUAAUAUAGAAUUUAAUUUUUUAGUUAAAAAGCUAAAAUGCAAAUAAUAGACGAGAAGACCCUAUAGAUUUUUAUAAUAAUAGUUUUAUAAUUUAUUUAAAAUAUUAAAAAUUUUAUUAUUAUUAUUAUUUUAUUGGGGUGAUAAUAAAAUUUAUUAAACUUUUAUAAAAUUUAACAAAAAUUAUUGGUUAAUUGAUCCAUUAUUAGUGAUUAAAAGAUUAAAUUACCUUAGGGAUAACAGCGUAAUUCUUUUUUAGAGUUCUUAUCGAUAAAAGAUUUUGC
rnacentral:rRNA from 1 species